AGUGAAUGCUGGCGGUAGGCCUAACACAUGCAAGUCGAACGGCAGCACAGUAAGAGCUUGCUCUUACGGGUGGCGAGUGGCGGACGGGUGAGGAAUACAUCGGAAUCUACUUUUUCGUGGGGGAUAACGUAGGGAAACUUACGCUAAUACCGCAUACGACCUACGGGUGAAAGCAGGGGAUCUUCGGACCUUGCGCGAUUGAAUGAGCCGAUGUCGGAUUAGCUAGUUGGCGGGGUAAAGGCCCACCAAGGCGACGAUCCGUAGCUGGUCUGAGAGGAUGAUCAGCCACACUGGAACUGAGACACGGUCCAGACUCCUACGGGAGGCAGCAGUGGGGAAUAUUGGACAAUGGGCGCAAGCCUGAUCCAGCCAUACCGCGUGGGUGAAGAAGGCCUCCGGGUUGUAAAGCCCUUUUGUUGGGAAAGAAAAGCAGCAGGUUAAUACCCCGCUGUUCUGACGGUACCCAAAGAAUAAGCACCGGCUAACUUCGUG
rnacentral:rRNA from 1 species